GACCUUGUUUGCAUGGGGAAUCUGUUGUUUUAGAAAUGUGUUUCUGCUGCUGUUUCUGCUUCCAAGAAUGUCAGAUAAAGGGGCCUGAACACAACUGGGGACGUGGGAAGGGGGAACCUCUAGUCAUGGGCAGAGGUGGGGCUGUGAUGUAACAGGCAUUGGCUUAGACCAAUGGGAAUGCAGAAACGGAUGGGGCAGAGAUCCUUGGGUGUAAUGACUAAUUAAGCAUGAUCUUUAAGUAGAGGUUGCAGGAAGUUUGGGGAGUUGAUUGGUAGGACUGGGUAGAAAGCAGAAGUAAUAUAGGAGGUGGAGGUAAAGAGAAGAGAAAUUAAGAAGGAAAAGUCUCAUCAAAUGACAUAUUUAAAGAUAAAUUAAACACAGAAAAGAUGAAGUGCCCUGGGGGCCAGAGUCCAGACAAGUAUUUUGGCACCUCCAAGGCCUGAAAGAACACAGAGAGGAAAAGAGAGACCCUGUUAUCCUUCCGCAGGGGUGGCCAUUCAGCCUCUCAGAGAUGGAAGUUAAGAUUUCCUUUGGUGAAACCCGUGUGGAAACACGAUCUGGGCUGUCUUCCUUGUGGACAUAACAUCACCUUUUGGGGAAAUAAGACUUCAUUCUUCAAAUGCUGAGGAAGAAAAGGGGUUCAUAGGGCAGAGCUAAUACUCAGCUUGCAUGAAGCAGUCCAGCUGGCAGAUGUGUACUGUAUCGGCCUGACAACAAGGAGCUUAUGCAGUUUGGCAAGAAUUUUUUCUCUGCCCUUCUCCAAAAAUCAUCUUCAUCACAGAUCACAGAAGCCUCAGAGAUCUCCACUUCCACUGACUGGCAAAGUAUGGUACAAAUUAAACAGCUCUGAUGGGGUACAGAGAACUGCCAACAUUUUCUUUUCUGGUGCUUUUAUCUUCAAAAGGGCAAAACUGGUCCUAACCAUAUGUAUUUUAUACAUCUUUUAUGUAUCUGUACAAGAAUAGUUAAUCCAAACUAAGCAAUAUAACAUUUUUCCCACCACAAAUUUGGUAAUAUGUACAAAGAUUGCAGCUGCCCAUGGGUCUGUUUUGGUUUGCAAGCUGUCUUGAUGGACAAGGGUCUAUUUUUAAGCUAACACUUUAUUUUCAUCUGUCAAUGCAGUUUUAACCUUGAAAUAAUACUUAUAAAAUGGAA
rnacentral:lncRNA from 1 species